CACGUAGGGGCCAAGCGUUGUCCGGAUUUAUUGGGCGUAAAGAGCUCGUAGGCGGUUGGGUAAGUCGGGUGUGAAAACUCCAGGCUCAACUUGGAGACGCCACCCGAUACUGCUCUGACUUGAGUUCGGUAGGGGAGUGGGGAAUUCCUGGUGUAGCGGUGAAAUGCGCAGAUAUCAGGAGGAACACCAGUGGCGAAGGCGACUUCCUGGCCUGUUCUUGACGCUGAGGCGCGAAAGCUAGGGGAGCAAACGGG
rnacentral:rRNA from 1 species